GUAAAAAAGAAGCGUACGAUCCUAUGUUAAGAUGGCGACCUAGUUAGUUAAGAACAUGAAAACGUGUUGACGUAGACUCCUUAUAUCUUAAAAAGAUAAAAGCAGACGAGAUAUGUCGGAGCUUAUUAGCAACUCUCGUCAUGAAGCAGAUCAGAUUCUUCUCCACGACAGCAAGUGUACUAACACGGACCUAUUAAGUGUUUAUUGCUGUAAACGAUCCUAAUGUAUCACACAGCCAUGAGCCACCGCAAGAAGGAGCUGUUCCUUCGUCCAUACAAGGUGCUUAUAAUUGAGAAACAAAGAACAACUGUGAAAAGGCUGUUUUCCUGAAGCAAUGAAGUACAAUGAUGAGCUAGCGAGACUAAAUCACCAGUAUCAAUAAAGUAAGUUACCUAAAAUUAUUGUUUAUUUACUUAUUCACUUGUUAAGAUUUUCUCGCAAAAUAUUUGUAGACUUAAAUCGAUAUUUGACAUUCAGAAAAACUUAUUAGUGUAACAAUGUUCAAUUCUUUCCAAGACGCAGUUACCCCAGUAAAAAAGAAGCGUACGCUCAUAUGUUAAGAUGGCAACCUAAGUUAAGAACAUGAAAACGUGUUGACGUAGACUCCGUAUAUCUUAAAAGAUAAAAGCAGACGAUAUUUGUCGGAGCUUAUUAGCAACUCUCGUCAUGAAGCGGAUCACAUUCUUCUCGACGACAGCAAGUGUACUAACACGGACCUAUUGAGUGAUAGUUGAUGGUAAGACACUCAAGCUUUUGAUAGAAUAAUUGUGCGUUUUAUAGUACUUAACGAUUAGCCUUGUGUUACUGACGAUUUAAUGUUGGGGAAUUUUUCUGCUAUUUCUGAGUUUGUUUACAAUCAUUCUCAAAUACCCAAGAUAAGAAUUUAUCCUUUAAAGUAUCUUUAUCUUAGCUAAUCUGUGACUUUGAAUUUACAUUAGCUUUUUUGAGGGAGAGACGAAAUUCUAACCUUAAUAUCUCAGAACAAUCCAGAAUAUAGUUUAAUGUCACAUUUAAGUUUUAACAAAUACAUUUGCAGGUUUAUUGCUGUAAACGAUCCUAAUGUAUCAUACAGACACCGCAAUAAGGAGCUGUUCCUUCGUCCAUACAAGUUACCCCAGUAAAAAAGAAGCGUACGAUCCUAUGUUAAGAUGGCAACCUAAGUUAAGAACAUGAAAACGUGUUGACGUAGACUCCACAAAUCUUAAAAAGAUAAAAGCAGACGAGAUAUAUCGGAGCUUAUUAGCAACUCUCGUCAUGAAGCGGAUCAGAUUCUCCUCCACGACAGCAAGUGUACUUAC